UAACCUCAAAGGAGUACCCCUACCAAUGCAGGUGGUGAAGAAAACUGUGUUGGUUCAGACUGGAUCAAAAAACCUUGGUCAGCCAACGCCUGGCACUGACGGUGGAGAUAAUGAAUCCAUUAAGGUAGACAUCAUUUCUGCUGGUUAUCACAUUUGCUCAGCUCCAGAGGCAAGUUGAAUGUAGAGCAAAACAAUACCCUGGACUUCAGAUCCUCAGCUUGGCCAAGACGUGACUUGCAACCCUCUGUUGGACUGAUUGUCAAACCAAAAGCAAAGUGUCUUCAGCAAAAAGUGCUUCGCUUACGAGAUUGAGUGAAAAAUUGCUUGUCAAUGUGAACCACAACACCACAUCCCAACCACCACCACAACAACAACCGUUUCUCAUAUCCUUACUCCUACAGCCACACUACUACAACCUUCACAUCGACAGUCCACCUACAAACAAAAACAACAACUCGGACUCCCAGCUCUAGUAAGACCCCAAACCACUCCUCCUACAUCACCUCAACAGGCGUAAAGUUAAGCGUAACCACCGA
rnacentral:lncRNA from 1 species